GAAGCCGCCGCCGCUGCUGCCGCCGCCGCCGCCCGCCCAGGAGGAGUUCUCCUUCCUACCGCUCGUCCACGACAUCAUCAAAUGGAGCUGAAGCUGGUUUGUGUCCUGCUGGUGUUUCACUUGCAGCAAGCAUGUCUGAAAGGUGAGCGAAGUUCACCCUUAGUGGCUCUGCAGCCUUACCCAUGGCAAGGAGAGACUGAAAACCUCUGACACGCUGGUCCAGAUACAGAAUGGAUGAGAGAGUGCAAACCCUCUGAUUUCGCUCAGCUUCCCUGUUGUGCUGGGGGUGGGCGGUUGCACCCAACCUCGAUCCUGCCUGAUUUGGCCAGACCACAGAAGUGAGGCUAAGCCCAUUUGCCAAGUGCAGGCAUGUACAUAAGCAAAGUGGGCAGUGGCCAUGGGCUAAGACCUCCCAGAUUCCUAUAUGUCACUGAGCAGGUCAUGGUGACACACAGAUGACAGUCCCGAGGAUAUCUUGUGUCCUGUCCUGCUGAGCCACUCAUUCCCACUACCCAACUACCUCCCUCAGCUUCGCACACGGCAUUUUCUGGGAGGCUUGAGCAGACGUAGGUACGCUGAACAGUGCUGUAAAUGGGUAGGACCACAGAGGCAGGUGGUGGGAUGUGUUGCCUCAUGUCUCUGACAGAUGGCAAAUGUAUUAUCCUAUGUGCUGCUAGUCGCAGAGCCCAGCCCUGCUGUUUUGACACUGACUCAGCCGUGAAGACACAUCUCCAAGGUGACUCUGUGCUCGGGAGUGAGGAUGUAUCGCGUAAAUUUGCUUACAUUCAAGGACACGUGCUCUUUCCUGUUGUUCAGGUCUGGAGAAAGUUUUCCCAAGUAGGGCUUGCUGAUAUUUUCAACCUCGUACAGUCAAAUGGCAUCGCUGCUGAGGUCCCAGCUCGUGGCUCCACCGAUGGGGGGUUGUGCUGGUGUAAUGAAGAACACCGUGCCUUAAGGCAGGUCUUAUGCGCAGUCCGUCAGCACAGGCUGUGGUUGGACGUUGCGUUGAAUCCUGUGUUACCGCAGGCAGCUGCAGUCUCUUCCAACACCUCCUCACCCCUGCCUGUCAAUGCUCUCAAAGAAGGAGUCACUUCAGUGGCUUGAUCCAGGAGGAAAAGCACCCAUCAGAAAAAAAAAACCCACCAAACCUGAAAUAAUUACCCCUUUAGAUCAACCAGCCAGACAGGCAGCCAUCAGUUCUCUAUGUGUGGGGAAGGGAACAAGACUCAGGGAGACCUGGAGCGAAGAGGACGUCCAUCUCAAAGCCAGCCUGCAACUAUAGUGGAUUAAAGGCAGUAUCAACCCAUCCUUCCCCAGAUGUGCCAUGGGGUUGUAUGUGUGCCUGUAUUUUUCCACUGCCGACCUGACCGUGAAUGCCUGCAUAAUGGGGAUACAUUGUAGUACCAGCUGCAGUUUUAUUUAGAAGGGAGUAAUGAAUAUUUUGUUCCAACAGGCUUUUGAAAUGAACGGAGACCAUCUGGUUAAAAGUUUUGCUCUCAGCCAUGUCACGAUUCCCCAAAGUUACAAUUGAGCACCUUUCUGCCCUGGUCCUGCCAAGCGGAUUUAUUUUUAGGUCUGGCUAUUGAACGGGCUCCAGUUUACAAAGACCAUUAGAAUCCCGCUCUUGUUACUAACAGGCAACCUGGAAGUGGGGACUCGCUUUUGCCUGGAAUCGUUAAAACUUCUUGCUGGUGCUAACAAAGCUGCGGUAGAUACUAACGAGGGUUUGAGGGCAGACGCUGCCUCAGACAACACUGAUCCUUGAAAAACACAGAGCUGGCCGCAGAACCAAUUGUGCUGCUCUUAAAAAAAAAAAAAAAAGCUGUUGCUUCUCUUUUAUUAGGUAUAUAUCCCCACAGAGUCAUUUUAAAGCUCCAAAGUACCAUUUUCUCUGCCAUUGGAUACUCUCUGAUACUUUGGGGAACAGUUUCUAUUUUCCGCUGUCAAGCUGUUUGACUGCAUUGAUUUUUUGUCUUACAGCAGCAACAGGUCACGGGUGAGACUGAGAUCUUUUUUUCCAGGUGCCUACACACAACGUAUGUAUGUAAUCCUACCUUCCCCAAAGAGAGAUAUGGGAGUUGAAACAGAGGGAGAAUUUAGCCUGCUCCAUGGUAAAGUUUUAAAGCUGCAGACCAGCUCCUAACCCAAUUGAUGGGUCCUGAGGCAACUGGAUUGUGUGCUGGAAAUUAGCAGGAAACCAGUUUGCCCCAGAGGCUACCCAGUCUGUCUAUCUAUCUGUGUCCAUUUUAUUGAUAUAGGUGAAUUAGGUGUGCGUAGGUAGAUACCAAGAGCAAAAGUUUCCCACUGGAUUCCAGUUUAAGCUCUAGUUGCACUGGAAAUGACAGUCGCCCCAGCAGGUUGUUCACUUUCCAAUAGGAGAACUGAAUAGUGUCUCCGUUUUCUC